rnacentral:rRNA from 1 species
UAAACUGAAGAGUUUGAUCAUGGCUCAGAUUGAACGCUGGCGGCAGGCUUAACACAUGCAAGUCGAGCGGGGGAGGUUACUUCGGUAACUGACCUAGCGGCGGACGGGUGAGUAAUGCUUAGGAAUCUGCCUAUUAGUGGGGGACAACAUUCCGAAAGGAAUGCUAAUACCGCAUACGUCCUACGGGGGAAAGCAGGGGAUCUUCGGACCUUGCGCUAAUAGAUGAGCCUAAGUCGGAUUAGCUAGUUGGUGGGGUAAAGG